rnacentral:rRNA from 1 species
AGGAUGAACGCUGGCGGCGUGCCUAACACAUGCAAGUCGAACGAAGCACUUUUUUACGAUCCCUUCGGGGUGACGAAUUUGUGACUGAGUGGCGGACGGGUGAGUAACGCGUGGGAAACCUGCCUUGUACCGGGGGAUAGCAGUUGGAAACGACUGAUAAUACCGCAUAAGCCCACAGUAUCACAUGAUACAGUGUGAAAAAACUCCGGUGGUACAAGAUGGUCCCGCGUCUGAUUAGCUUGUUGGCGGGGUAAUGGCCCACCAAGGCGACGAUCAGUAGCCGACCUGAGAGGGUGACCGGCCACAUUGGGACUGAGACACGGCCCAAACUCCUACGGGAGGCAGCAGUGGGGAAUAUUGCACAAUGGAGGAAACUCUGAUGCAGCGACGCCGCGUGAGCGAUGAAGUAUUUCGGUAUGUAAAGCUCUAUCAGCAGGGAAGAUAAUGACGGUACCUGAGUAAGAAGCUCCGGCUAAAUACGUG